CUUACAGGUGUCAGGAUGUUGGGCUGGGUCCAAAGGGUGCUGCCUCAGCCUCCGGGGACCCCCCAGAAGACUGAAGAGGGAGCAGGACCACAGCCAGAAACAGAGUCAAAGCCUGAGGCAAAUCCACAACCCGAGCCAGAGGUUCAGCCGGAACCAGAGCCGGAACCGGAACCAGCACCUGAAGAGGCUGCACCAGAGGUCCAGACCCUGCCACCAGAGGAACCAGUGGAAGGAGAGGAUGUGGCUGAGGCUGGCCCUAGCCUUCAAGAGACCCAGGAAGCUGACCCUCCUCAGCCCACCUCCCAGGCCCAGGUUGCUGUUGUCAAGGUGAACAGGCCCAGCUCCUGGAUGUUGAGUUGGUUCUGGAAGGGCAUGGAGAAGGUCGUGCCACAGCCUGUC
rnacentral:lncRNA from 1 species